GACGAACGCUGGCGGCGUGCUUAACACAUGCAAGUCGAGCGAUGAAAGCCUUAUGAACUAUUCGUAGUGAUUGGGGCCGGAUUAGCGGCGGACGGGUGAGUAACGCGUGAGCAACCUGCCUUAAACAACGGGAUAGCCUCGGGAAACCGGGAUUAAUACCGUAUGAGACCCCGCCUUCACAUGAAGAAGAGGUUAAAGAUUUAUCGGUUUAAGAUGGGCUCGCGUCUGAUUAGCUAGUUGGUGAGAUAAAAGCCCACCAAGGCAACGAUCAGUAACCGGCUUGAGAGAGUGAACGGUCACAUUGGAACUGAGACACGGUCCAAACUUCUACGGGAGGCAGCAGUGGGGAAUAUUGCACAAUGGGGGAAACCCUGAUGCAGCGACGCCGCGUGAGCGAUGAAGGAAUUCGUUUCGUAAAGCUCUGUCCAAGGGGAAGAUAAUGACAGUACCCUUGGAGGAAGCCCCGGCUAAAUACGUGCCAGCCGCCGCCGUAACAC
rnacentral:rRNA from 1 species